rnacentral:rRNA from 1 species
GAUCCAUCGGUAGCUUGCUAUCCAUGGUGAGAGUGGCGCACGGGUGCGUAACGCGUGAGCAACCUGCCUCCAUCAGGGGGAUAGCCUCUCGAAAGAGAGAUUAACACCGCAUAACAUAUUUUACCGGCAUCGGACGAAUAUUAAAUAUUUAUAGGAUGGAGAUGGGCUCGCGUGACAUUAGCUUGUUGGUGGGGUAACGGCCCACCAAGGCGACGAUGUCUAGGGGCUCUGAGAGGAGAAUCCCCCACACUGGUACUGAGACACGGACCAGACUCCUACGGGAGGCAGCAGUAAGGAAUAUUGGUCAAUGGGCGGAAGCCUGAACCAGCCAUGCCGCGUGCAGGAUGACUGCCCUAUGGGUUGUAAACUGCUUUUGUCCGGGAAUAAACCUCCUUACGAGUAGGGAGCUGAAUGUACCGGAAGAAUAAGGAUCGGCUAACUCCGUGCCAGCAGCCGCGGUAAUACGGAGGAUCCGAGCGUUAUCCGGAUUUAUUGGGUUUAAAGGGUGCGUAGGCGGCCUGUUAAGUCAGGGGUGAAAUACGGUGGCUCAACCAUCGCAGUGCCUUUGAUACUGACGGGCUUGAAUCCAUAUGAAGUGGGCGGAAUAAGACAAGUAGCGGUGAAAUGCAUAGAUAUGUCUUAGAACUCCGAUUGCGAAGGCAGCUCACUAAGCUGGUAUUGACGCUGAUGCACGAAAGCGUGGGGAUCGAACAGGAUUAGAUACCCUGGUAGUCCACGCCCUAAACGAUGAUAACUCGAUGUUGGCGAUAG